GAAACAUUUCCAGCUCCUUCUGAAUUCUCACCGAUCGUGUCUGUGGAGUUUGUCAUUCUGCUGGAUGGAGUAUCUUAAACCCUUGAUUCCACUUCUCCCAUACUUAAGGCAUUGAGGAUUUGAAUCCAGGCCUGCUUCAAUGAACCACCUCUCCAGUUGUUCUGCUCAAAUCUGCGAAGGACUACUCUCCGAUACGGGGUGCGCCUCCCAUAUCGAACCACGAGACUGGAUCAAUAUCCUAGGAGUUGAAAACAGACACACACAGAGACCAGGAUCAUUUGCCCAAAGGGUAAAUGUCAACUUUAUUCA